AACGCACAUUGCGCCCCUUGGUAUUCCGGGGGGCAUGCCUGUUCGAGCGUCAUUAUCACCCCUCAAGCUCAGCUUGGUGUUGAGGCCUGCCGGCGACGGCAGCCUCUAAAAUCAGUGGCGGUGCCUUCAGGCUCUAAGCGUAGUAAUACUCCUCGCUAUAGGGUCCUGACGGCGUCCUGCCAAAACCCCCCAUUUUUUCAUGAUUGACCUCGGAUCAGGUAGGGAUACCCGCUGAACUUAA
rnacentral:misc_RNA from 1 species